rnacentral:tRNA from 1 species
GGAUUUAGCUCAGUGGUAGAGCGCUUGCCUAGCAAGCAUAAGGCCCUGGGUUCGGUCCUCAGAUCCA